CCCUUAGAUGUCCUGGGCCGCGCGCGCGCUACACUGACAUGUUCAACAAGCCUCCUAGUUCGACAGGGUUUGGGAAAUCUUUGAACGCAUGUCGUGAUAGGGAUAGAUCAUUGCAAUUAUCGAUCUUGAACGAGGAAUUCCUAGUAAACGCGAGUCAUCAGCUCGCAUUGAUUACGUCCCUGCCCUUUGUACACACCGCCCGUCGCUCCUACCGAUUGAGUGGUCCGGUGAGGCUUUGGGAUCUGAGCGGAAAGAGCGUUUCGCUGUUUCUGCUCGGAAAACUCAGUCGAACCUUAUCAUUUAGAGGAAGGAGAAGUCGUAACA
rnacentral:rRNA from 1 species